rnacentral:rRNA from 1 species
UACGUAGGGGGCUAGCGUUGUCCGGAAUCAUUGGGCGUAAAGAGCGCGUAGGCGGCCAGAUAAGUCCGGUGUGAAAGCCCGGGGCUCACCCCCGGAAGUGCGCUGGAAACUGGUCGGCUAGAGCAUGGGAGAGGAGAGUGGAAUUCCUGGUGUAGCGGUGAAAUGCGUAGAUAUCGAGAGGAACACCUGCGGCGAAGGCGGGUUGCUGGGCUGACACUGACGCUGAUGCGCGAAAGCCAGGGGAGCGAACGGG